GCGAUAUUAGUCUAAUUGGUAAAACGUCCAUCUUCCAAAUGUUCUUUGUGAGUUCGAAUCUCACAUAUCGUA
rfam:Podospora anserina complete mitochondrial genome